rnacentral:misc_RNA from 1 species
CGAAUGUGGUUCCCCUGAAGAUUUGGAGCUGUCUAUCAUCCAACUUGCUUUUCAACAAUGUAACAGCAUUACAAUUUGUGUGCGAACUUACACGUGUGUGGAAAUGUUUGUUUGGUGGGAUGUAGAAAUCCCAAGUCUUCAAAUUGGAGGAGCUUGGAUGCUCUUCUUCGUAUAGUCCAUCAUACACCUUUCUCUUUUUUGAUGUAACAACUUCAUCCCGCUGUACAGAUUUACCCUUAUUUUUCCCAGCAGCAUUAACAUCCUUCCUUUUUCCAGAAAAUUCACCUUUCGUUCUAGGGGACUUCAUCGCAUUAGAUUCAGUACCCACAAUUGCUCCAUCGGGAGUCAUCUGAGAUCGAGUCCUUCUUCCGCUGGAGUUUAUCGGAGCAGAUUUAGAGGUUGAAUUCAACUUGGAAUCGACAGAGUCAGAAGUAACUUCUACUGAUAAAUCAUCAUCAGUGAAUUCAUAAACAGACAAAGGAUCCAUUUUCGGUCUUUUCCUGCUUGCUAUUCGAGUCGACUUUUCCACCAUUCUCAACAAAGCCCUAAAAUCAAACGGAGGAUUUCGUCGGAAUUGAAGCAG